GACGAACGCUGGCGGCGUGCUUAACACAUGCCAGUCGAACGGAAAGGCCCUGCUUUUGUGGGGUGCUCGAGUGGCGAACGGGUGAGUAACACGUGAGUAACCUGCCCUUGACUUUGGGAUAACUUCAGGAAACUGGGGCUAAUACCGGAUAGGAGCUCCUGCUGCAUGGUGGGGGUUGGAAAGUUUCGGCGGUUGGGGAUGGACUCGCGGCUUAUCAGCUUGUUGGUGGGGUAGUGGCUUACCAAGGCUUUGACGGGUAGCCGGCCUGAGAGGGUGACCGGCCACAUUGGGACUGAGAUACGGCCCAGACUCCUACGGGAGGCAGCAGUGGGGAAUAGUGCACAAUGGGCGGAAGCCUGAUGCAGCAACGCCGCGUGCGGGAUGACGGCCUUCGGGUUGUAAACCGCUUUCGCCUGUGACGAAGCGUGAGUGACGGUAAUGGGUAAAGAAGCACCGGCUAACUACGU
rnacentral:rRNA from 1 species